GUAGGCGUGGUUGCCGUCCAACCUGCGUCCGUGCCGGUCGUGACCGAACUGCCGGGCCGCACCAAUGCCUUCCUCGUCGCGCAGGUGCGCGCGCGGGUCGACGGCAUCGUGCUGCGCCGCGAAUUCACCGAGGGCUCGGUCGUGAAGGCGGGCCAGCGCCUGUACAAGAUCGA
rnacentral:ncRNA from 1 species